rnacentral:pre_miRNA from 1 species
UUUUUAGUGUAAGUAUGCUCCAUGCAAUAUUUGGGAUAUACUUAUACUACAA